rnacentral:rRNA from 1 species
GAACUGAAGAGUUUGAUCCUGGCUCAGAUUGAACGCUGGCGGCAUGCCUUACACAUGCAAGUCGAACGGUAACGCGGGGCAACCUGGCGA